rnacentral:pre_miRNA from 1 species
GACAGUAGCGGCUAAAAACUCACCCCCCCAAAAAAAGUUUAAAUUUUUUUUAUAAUUAGUAAUUUUGUUGUUAUAAGAUAAUAAAACAUGAAUACUACUUUACUCGUGAAUUAUGUUUUUAAUUUUUUUCAAAAAAUUUUCAAAUAAGACGAGUGAUCAAAGUUGGACGCGAAAAACCAUGGCUGCACUUAUU